AGUUAGGAAUCUUCCACAAUGGGGGCAACCCUGAUGGAGCAACACCGCGUGCUGGAUGAAGGCCUUCGGGUCGUAAACAGCUUUUGUAUACGAAGAAUAUGACGGUAAUAUACGAAUAAGGGUCGGCUAACUACGUGCCAGCAGCCGCGGUCAUACGUAGGACCCAAGCGUUAUCCGGAGUGACUGGGCGUAAAGAGUUGCGUAGGCGGCUUAUUAAGUGGACAGUGAAAGCUGGUGGCUCAACCAUUCAGUCUAUUGUCCAAACUGGUAAGCUUGAGAGUGGUAGAGGUAGCUGGAAUUUCUUGUGUAGGAGCGAAAUCCGUAGAUAUAAGAAGGAACACCAAUGGCGUAGGCAGGCUACUGGACCAUUUCUGACGCUGAGGCACGAAAGCGUGGGGAGCGAACCGGAUUAGAUACCCGGGUAGUCCACGCCGUAAACGAUGGAUGCUAGCUGUGGGGGGUAUCGACCCCCUCCGUAGCGAAGCUAACGCGUU
rnacentral:rRNA from 1 species